rnacentral:lncRNA from 10 species
AGGGUUAUAGAGUGGAAAGUCCCACAAUCUUUUUCUUCUCUAUUUUCAAAAAACGUUGACCUCUUGGCGAGAAUGCAAAGAAGGGAACGCUUGCUUAUACGCUGUUGUGAACUGUCACCCCUACAACUCAGCUUGCAACCAGCCCUGGCCACCAGUUUCCCCACACUGAGCUGAAUAUCGGACAUGCCCAUCUCAGACAUUCCAGCCCAUUCUGAAAUUCCACAUCGAUUCACCUGACAAAGUCUGAAGUUCCAGGGCAAUUUAUCUGGAAAAGCUUACCUGGAAUCACGUGUCAUUUCAACCAACAACUGUUGAAGAGGACGUGGCAUUAAAACCAAGGGUAUCAAUUAUUUAUAAGGGCUGUGUGCU